rnacentral:rRNA from 1 species
UGCAGUCGAGCGAAUGACGAGGAGCUUGCUCCUCUGAUUUAGCGGCGGACGGGUGAGUAACACGUGGGUAAUCUGCCUGUAAGACGGGGAUAACUCCGGGAAACCGGGGCUAAUACCGGAUAACAAGAGAAGAAGCAUUUCUUCUUUUUGAAAGUCGGCCUCUCGCUGACACUUACAGAUGAGCCCGCGGCGCAUUAGCUAGUUGGUGAGGUAACGGCUCACCAAGGCGACGAUGCGUAGCCGACCUGAGAGGGUGAUCGGCCACACUGGGACUGAGACACGGCCCAGACUCCUACGGGAGGCAGCAGUAGGGAAUCUUCGGCAAUGGGCGAAAGCCUGACCGAGCAACGCCGCGUGAGCGAUGAAGGCCUUCGGGUCGUAAAGCUCUGUUGUUAGAGAAGAACAAGUACGAGAGUAACUGCUCGUACCUUGACGGUACCUAACCAGAAAGCCACGGCUAACUACGUGCCAGCAGCCGCGGUAAUACGUAGGUGGCAAGCGUUAUCCGGAAUUAUUGGGCGUAAAGCGCGCGCAGGCGGUCUCUUAAGUCUGAUGUGAAAGCCCACGGCUCAACCGUGGAGGGUCAUUGGAAACUGGGAGACUUGAGUGCAGGAGAGAAAAGUGGAAUUCCACGUGUAGCGGUGAAAUGCGUAGAGAUGUGGAGGAACACCAGUGGCGAAGGCGGCUUUUUGGCCUGUAACUGACGCUGAGGCGCGAAAGCGUGGGGGAGCAAACAGGAUUAGAUACCCUGGUAGUCCACGCCGUAAACGAUGAGUGCUAGGUGUUGGGGGGGUUCCACCCUCA